ensembl:lncRNA
GAGAGGGAGAGAAACAGGAAGAGACAGAGAGAGGGAGAGAAACAGGAAGAGACAGAGAGAGAGAGGGAGAGAAACAGGAAGAGACAGAGAGAGGGAGAGGGAGAGAAACAGGAAGAGACAGAGAGAGGGAGAGGGAGAGAAACAGGAAGAGACAGAGAGGGAGAGAAACAGGAAGAGACAGAGAGGGAGAGAAACAGGAAGAGACAGAGAGAGGGAGAGAAACAGGAAGAGACAGAGAGAGACGGAGAGAGAGAGAGCGACAGAGAGAGACAGAGAGAGGGAGAGGGAGAGAAACAGGAAGAGACGGAGAGGGAGAGAAACAGGAAGAGACAGAGAGAGACAGAGAGAGAGAGAGAGGGAGAGGGUGAGAAACAGGAAGAGACAGAGGGAGAGGGAGAGAGAGAGAAACAGGAAAAGACAGAGAGAGACCGAGAGAGACAGAGAGAGAGGGAGAGACAGAGAGAGACACAGACACAGAGAGAGGGAGGGAGAGGGAGAGAAACAGGAAGAGACAGAGAGAGAGAGAGAGAGCCAGAGAGAGAGACAGAGAGAGACACAGAGACACAGAGAGAGGGAGGGAGAGGGAGAGGGAGAGAAACAGGAAGAGAGAGAGAGACAGAGAGAGACAGAGAGAGACAGAGAGACAGAGAGAGAGAGAGAGAGAGAGAGAGAGAGAGAGAGAGAGAGACAGAGAGAGACAGAGAGAGACAGAGAGAGAGAGACAGAGAAAGACAGAGAGAGACAGAGAGAGAAAGAUGCGGGAUAACAGAGAGUCUUGAGGUAGUGUAGAGAAUAGAUCAGUACCUGGGCCAGGAUAGAACAUAGGUAGGUCGGAGAAGGUUCGUAUGGGAGAUAGGGAAGAGAAGUUUUGAGAGAGGUAGGAGAAUGUUUGUAUGGGAGAUCGGUAGGAGAAGGUUUGUACGGGAGAUUGGUCGGAGAAGGUUUGUAUGGCAGAUUAGUAGGAGAAGGUUUGUAUGGGAGAUAGGGAAGUGAAGGUUUGAGAUAGGUAGGAGAAGGUUUGUACGGGAGACAGGUCGGAGGAGGUUGGUACGGGAGACAGGUAGGAGGAGGUUUGUAUGGGAGACAGGUAGGAGAAGGUUUGUAUGGGAGACAGGUAGGAUAAGGUUGGUAUGGGAGAUAGAUAGGAGAAGGUUUGUACGGGAGACAGGUCGGAGAAGGUUUGUACGGGAGAUAGGUAAGAGAAGGUUUGUACGGGAGACAGGUAGGAGGAGGUUAGCCCAAGUGUGUUUGUUCAAUUCUGAACGAGGACAGAAGGCACUGGUAUGGGAGAUCGGUAGGAGAAGGUUUUUAUGGAGAUAGGUAAGAGUAGGUUUGAGAUAGGUAAGAGAAGGUUUGUAUGGGAGAUCGGUAGGAGAAGGUUUGUAUGGAGAUAGGUAAGAGAAGGUUUGUAUGAGAGACAGGUAGAAGGAGGUUCGUACGAGAGACAGGUAGGAGGAGGUUUGUACGAGAGACAGGUAGGAGGAGGUUCGUACGAGAGACAGGUAGGAGGAGGUUCGUACGAGAGACAGGUAGGAGGAGAUUUGUACGGGAGACAGGUAGGGAGAGGUUUGUACGGGAGACAGGUAGGGGGAGGUUUGUACGGGAGACAGGUAGAAGGAGGUUUGUACGGGAGACGGGUAGGAGGAGGUUUGUACGGGAGACGGGUCGGAGAAGGUUUGUACGGGAGAUAGGUAAGAGAAGGUUUGUACGAGAGACAGGUAGAAGGAGGUUUGUACGAGAGAGGUUGGAGGAGGUUUGUACGGGAGACAGGUAGGAGGAGGUUUGUACGGGAGACAGGUAGGAGGAGGUUUGUACGGGAGACAGGUAGGAGGAGGUUUGUACGGGAGACAGGUAGGAGGAGGUUUGUACGGGAGACAGG